UCUGCCCCUCCCCCACUCGUGCUCUGUUUCUCUCGCUCUCAAAAAUAAAUUAAAAAAAAAAAAUCAGACUCUGGUGCAGGUAGUUUCUUUGGGGGAUGUAGUGACCAUGCAAAUGCACCACUCAGAUCCGAUGCUGCAGGAAGCAGAGUUGCAUCCGGAUACACUUCCUGAUCCACCAUCAUGUGCACGUGAAAGCCACGCUUCCCAUGGGCUGCUCCCAGCGAAUGCCUGAGCACAGUCAGGCCACCGAAACCGGCCCCUGCGUGGGGUAGAUGCGGGACUCCCCUGACAGAUGGCUUUGGCUGGAGAGCCCCUCCUUGGCCUGGCCAAAUUUGUCUUGGAACUGCACCGCUGCCCACGGCUGCCUGCCUGGUUACCCCCUCCAUCCUUCUCCCCUUCUCUCCCCUUUGCAGAACGAGACCCGCCUUCGCCAGCUCCUCCCCUGUUCGCCUUUACAAAUACUUCUCCCAAUAAACUCCUUGCAUGUCUAAUCUCAUCUGGGCACCUGCUUCUCGGGGGCACCAAACUAACACCGGAGGUGACCCCAGGAAGUGAUAGAGUAGGCAGUUAGUUAGAGGUGAGCCGGAGGCAAGGGCGGUGAUAAGUAGGUUACACAUUAGAAGCUUGGGGGCACAGCAUCCUGACUUUGUGGCUCUCAACAUCCUGGCCUGAUGGCUUCCAGCACCGCGGGAUUGACAGACCAAGAGCUACAGGUACAGAACAUGGUCUCUUCUCUUCACCUCUGUCCUGCGGUAACCCCUAGACUCUUUAUGAUGCAUCUGCAUUGUGGUUUUACCCUCGCCGCCCGGCCCCCCAAUGGAAGAAGGCUACCAUGUCGGUUCUGGUAUAAACCUUAAAGGGUCAAAAACUCCCCCUCCUGACCAGGGGGAGGAGUCCCCCAAAUGAUUGGAAGCAGCCUCUAUUAGAGACCACCACGUCACCAUGGCCAUGACCCAAGACCCCUGCAGCCACAGGGCAGUUUGCACCUCUGGGCCUGCCCACCCUCCGGUCCUGAGAGCGUACUGUCCUUAACAAACUGCCGUAUGCUAGCUGCUUUCCUGCCGGCUGUCUUUACGGGAACACAGAUCCCUCCGCAAACCUUUUCUUGGGGAAUCCAAUAACCGAGACCUCCCUACACACAGCGCAGACUCUCCUGCCGGCAAGAGAAGCACAAGGGAGGAAACGGGGGAGGUGGGACUGAGGUGGGAGAAACGGCGAUCCACGAGGCACUGGUGAGCCGGUGACCACUGUGGGGGAGUCACCCUGGGAUGUUCUUAGAGACCGCGUAGGGUGCGCUCAGGACCAUCCCAUCAGAGAGCAUCCCAUCAGAGAGCAGGGGCACCCUAGCGUUAAUCCGCUGCUUUCCGUUUCCUGUUGGCAAAGGUUGUCUGAGUGUAUCAGCUCUCUCUCACUUCAAGCUUGAGAGGAGGGUCCUGGGCGCCAGCGGAAGCCUUCAGGCAGAGAACAAGAGAAGCAGGUGCGUGAGCUGGGAACAGCCUGGCUGCGCCGUAGCCGAACUCAGGUGGGCGCGGCGUCCGCAGCUUCUGCUACACUCGGGAUGAACACGAGGCGGGGCCCCCAGCGGCUUGCAAUACCCGGUAGGAAAAACCAUUCCAGAGAACGCUUCUUUCUCAGGAAUUUCAGGCCCAGCCUUCUGAUUGGCCAGGCUCGUGUCACAUGACCACCCGUGAGCCAAUCACUGUGCCUGCGGAAACGGAGGGUCUAGUCACCCUGGAAGGUACCACCCGGCCAAGUCGCUGCCUCGCACGUAACAAGGAUUGCGCCGGCGUGCCUCCCUGCAAGAUGGAGGGCCUCUGACCUCCCCCCCCCCCCCCCCCCACCGCCACCGCCUGACGGCUUGGAAGAUGGAGGAAGAUUCUAGAUGGCAGCACUACCCGUGUCCACUGAGGAGACAUCCUGCCCCUACGGAGUGGGUCUCCAGCUUUGCUUCCCCCAGAGGUGCACAAUUUGCUACGUGCUGGCAAGGAAAGGUGCGAGCUAACGAAUAUGGAAGCUGAUGGCACAUGAUUUUCCCAGGCACCGAGAGCUUCCGUUUAAAGAGACCAGGCUUGGUGUGCAAGAUACCCGUAUGCCGACUAGUGGGGGUACUGUCCCGGUUGGGGCCGUGGCACAGAGUAGGUGCUGGGCGCACACACUGAGACGGGAAAUAUUUUCGGAGCCAGAGUCCAAAUUUGGAAGGACCACCGGGAGCCUCUGCGGCCGCCAGGGAAGGAUUCGUGAGUCAAAGGAGAAGAAGCCGGUGGACUCUUCGUAUUUGAACAAGUCGCUUAAGCUGUCUGAUCCUCGGUUUCCUUCAUCUUGAAAAAUCGGAAAGUGGCAUCUACUUGGUGGGGUUUUGAGGACUUGCCCAAGGUCAUACAGCCAAGAAGAUGAGCCAGUACAUCCCCACGGUGUUUUCGAGCUGAGAAUUCAAGCCAGGACCUACCUUGCUCACAAAAAGGACAGAUUUCAAGGUGAGCUGUGCCAUCUGGGGCAUUUCGAAAUGUACACGUUGAACCUGUGAGCGAGAGUCUGUGUGUGGCUGAAAGAGAAAUCUUUGAGGGAGACUUUGGAGAACGAUAUGCUUGACCCAGCAGCAAUUCUAUGCAAGCAACUGCUCUUCUCUGAGUCGCUGGGUGUGAGUUGAGAGCAUCAGCUUCGGAAUGGGACAGGAUUGCCCGCAUAGCGAUCUGGACUCUUUUAUUCGUGUCCUCUGUGACCUUGAGGGAGCAUUUUGAGGGAGCUCCUUGGCUACGGAGGCCUAUUCUCGACGCCGGAAGACACGCCCAAGGUGGCACGGUGUUGAGGAUGUAUAAUGUUGUGUACGGGAGCACUCACUGUACCGAGAGCUUACAGUCGCACAGGGGAAAUGAGGUACGCAGGCUGAUAAAUACGAUGCGAGGUGAUGUGCCAUAAAGGUGGUGAAACCUUACGGCUAGAUCGUCAAGGUUGCACGGAGGGAAUGGAGGAAAGAAUCUUGGAACCAUAGCGCCCAGCUCCCUUGCCAUGCAGGUGACGACGCGGACAGGACCACGGUUUCUAGCUCCGACCCAACUCCCACUGUCUGCUCUCCACUGCGUUACCUCUCAUGCCCAUUCUGGCUCAAAGUGGCAGUUUUAUUCUAGUUUGGAGGCCGUGGUGAAGUCCUCACGCCUGCCCAAGGUGACAGAACAAAGCCUCGUGUCGUUUCCUCUGUGCAGUAGCCAAUUAAGGACAGAGAGUGCUUUAGGGUGUGUGCACUCAUUCAUUCACUUGACAAAUAUCUAGUGGUAGCAAGUGGUAGAAGUAAAGAGAGGACUAAGACUCCGAGUGAGGGCAGAGAAAGAUCACAUACAAGGUACAGGGGAUUUCCAGCAUCCUUUCCAAGCUAGUUGCUGCAUCAAGGGAAGAGCACGUGUUGGCAAGCGACGACGUUAGAGAAGUAGGCGGAGGCCACAUCAUGGAGGACUUUGCGGGCUUGAGUUGGGUUCCACAGAAGCAAUCCCUGAGACCGGGAUUCAGAUGCCAGUGAUACCUUAAGAAGUGCUCCUUAUAGAAGCAGCAAUGGAAAAGGAAGCACGUGAAGAAGGAGGAGGAGGAAGAGGAGGGACA